rnacentral:lncRNA from 1 species
GGCUAUUAUUUCGAUAAGUUUGAUAUAACACCCUUUAUGGCCUAGGGCCUUCGCCAUUAAAAGAGAAGGGUUCGACCUCGGUCGAACAACGACGAGCUGUUAUUUCGAUAAGUUCGAAAUAACACCCUUUAAGGCCAAGGGCCUUCACCAAAAAGAGAAGGGUUCUACCUUGAUCGAACUACGACGAGUUGACAUUUUGAUAAGUUCGAAAUAACACCAUUUAAGGACAAGGGCCUUCGGCAAAAAAUAGAAGGGUUCGACCUCGAUCGAGUAACGACAAGUGGUUAUAUCAAUAAGUUUGAAAUAACACCCUUUAAGUCAAAAGGCCUUCUCCAAAAAAGAGAAGGGUAAAACCUCGAACGAACAACAAUGGGAUGUUAUUUCGAUAAGUUUGAAAUAACACUCUUUAUGUCCAAGGGACUUCGCCAAGAAAGAGAAGGGUUUCACCUCGAUCGAGCAAUGAUAGGUGGUUAUUUCGAUAAGUUUGAAAUAACACCCUUUAAGGCCAAGGGCCUUCGCUAAAAAAUAGAAGGGUUCGACCU